rnacentral:lncRNA from 1 species
CAUGUUCCAUUAGAUGCCUUAGUCAUGAGCCCUCAGUGGUGAGUGCACUAAUUUCUGCGCGCAAUUCAACUACAGUACUGCCAGUUUGAAUUUUGAUAUUAUGCGUGAUUUGGAGGAUGCUUGUCAGUGGCGUGGCGUGAUCGAUCGAUUAACGAUAUUUCCCAAUAGGGAGCUUUGGUAAAGGAUCGAUUAUUAAGAUGUUCGCUGCGAACACCCUGUUAAUCGAUCCUUUUCUAUAGGUUUAAAUGGUAGACCAAUCGAUAUAUCGCAAAGUACGCCACGCCACUGAUGCUUGUUUGUAAAAAAUGAAAGCAGCACAAAUGUGCAACCACUAUCAUGCUCUUCCGCAUUAAAACCAAUCCCGAGACACCCAUGUGAUCAUAUGCGUGUUAACUUAAUUAUAAGUGCCUUUCGUUGCUUAAUGAACCUUACUGACAGAUCUUAUCAAUUUUUUUUCGCGGUGAAAUUUUUUUUGGGAAUGAAACUCACUCCGGUGUCGAAAAAAAUUUGAUUAUAAAAAGGGUUUGCGAAACUAGCGGUCUCACUUAACGAAGUGCGCAGUCAUGAGUUACCAACGCCACCCGUUGCUGUUGCUGUUCCUGGCCACACUUUUUCAGGCGGAGUUUUCGACAUGCGUCACCGAGUUGAGCCUCGACAAUGAAAGCGGCACAAACGUUCCUCGCGACACCAUCGAGGUCAACCCGAUCCUAACUCUACACCCAAGGGGUCUUCCUACCGAGGGGGCCGUUUCGCCUAAAGUAGCAGAGCUGAAAAAAGAACUCUCCCAUCUACAGCGCCAACAGAACAGGGCGACCAGGAGGUUGACCAGAUUGGGUAAUGCUUACUCCGAUUACCUGACCAGAGUCAACGGUGAGGUCAGACAGCUGAAUGAGGACAUUAAACAAGCAAUGAAUGACCCUGGUCUGGCUGCAGGGUUGAAGAAUCAGUUAAAGGAUAAAAUCGAGAAGCGCAAAGUAGAAACGAAGAAGUAUAAGACCAGGAAGGCUCCGAUUACUGAGGAGAUGGAUGCUAGGGCGACACUGAUACAACAGAAGUACAAUCAAAUAAAGGAAGAGGAAGCCGCUGUCAAAUCUUUGAAAAAGAUACAUCAAUUGGAAAGUGUGAUAAGCAAAAUUUAGUGUCUGGUAACUUUGAGAAUGUAUGUCCAUGUUUUAAAUAAGUUUAUUUUUCGCUCUUGGUUGCAAUUUUCACGAUCAUGAAAGAUCGCAAUCUUUCUUUUGGUUAAACAGAGUUUCAUAGAGGAAAUAAAUAAACGAAACACAUUUUUUAUGCAGAUUGUGAAGUUGCGAGUUUCUUUCAGACUUUUCCGAUGCACUCCUCGUGAUGUUUUUGCCAUUAUCUGAUGGAAAUAACUCAUCUUUUUCUCUGUCUGAAGUGUGUAACAGGCCCACUUUCGAAUACUGUAGAUUAAAUGGACUACAUUUUGCAAUUUGGAACUAUAAAUUCUGGCUCUUCUGGAAAAAUACUCAUAUGCAUAGGGAAACUAAUGGCACAUACGUUGUUUUUAAACCGGGCUAGAAUUUAUAGUUCCAAAUUGCAAAUUGUAGUCCAAAUGGCAGACGAAAUUCUCUGUAAAGUUGGGUUUAAAAAAUAUCGACAAACUUCCCUAAAAAUUCGUAUUUCAUUGAAGGUCAUCGUGAUUUUGGGCAAUUUUCUGUAUGAGAGACAGCUCUCCGUUUUGCUCCGGCUGAAAGAGCCUCCCAAAAUUUCGCCCCUUUUUCGGUAUUCGAUUCGACCAUCGAACCAAGGUUUAAGUGGAAGCUUAUAAUAACAGAAAACUCAGGAAAAAAUUUCAAGAUGAGUAUAGGAACCGUUUUCGAUUUAAAGGGGGGGGGGGGCAAAGGGGUUAAACUUCGACCUUAUUUUUCGCUAUUUUCUUGUUGAAUUGAUGUGUCUACGGGGUUGUUAUCGUUGUUUAUAUCGUUGUUAUGAAUGUUUGUGAAGAAAUUAAUGAGAAAAAAAUUGCUGACUAAACAAUCAAAAUCACUGCCGGUGCAAAUGUUAAUUAAACAAUACUAAAGCACUUUAUCGAUGGUGAAAGUGCAGAAGUGCGAAUUUCGGACAAACACGAUUUUCCAGGAGAGUAAAAAACUGUCUGCAUUCCUCUUUAUUGUCGGUAGAAGGGUAAUAAUUCUUGAGUAUAGCAAGAAUAAGAUAUUUUUUCAAACUCCAUCAGCAGUUUCAAUAAUUUCUCGAACUGUUAGAGAAUACGGCAGAAAUGCCGAUAGUCGUGUUUUUGGCACUAAGAAUCGACACUUCAUCAGGAGAUACGCAUUUUUCAAUUAGUGUUUUAAACUUGUUGGUAGAUUUGGAUCAUUUAAAGACUGAAAAAAGGGUUUCACACUUAAAAUUCCUUAUCAGAUAAGAUUUAGUUGGUCAUCGAUACUCCAUCCAUCCAUGCUCUACGCUUCCUUAAUGGACCGGUGGACAAAGUACCUUUUCUUCAAUUUUGAUUAUUCACAGUUAAUCAACGAAAGCUCUUAUUAUCCGUGCGAAACUUUUUAAAUUCACAAACGCUUUUGAG